AAAAGGUACUCAAGGGCACACAAUGGAUGCCUAGACGUAUAUUACCGAAGAAGGACGUGGAAGGCUGCGAUAAGCCUCGGGGAGCUGUCAUCAAGCUUUGAUCCGGGGAUGUCCGAAUGGGGAAACCCGGCAUGAGUCAUGUCAUGUCACCUCUACCUGAAUACAUAGGGUAGUUGGCGGGAACCAUCUGAACUGAAACAUCUUAGUAGGAUGAGGAAAAGAAAGUAAAUAACGAUACCGAAAGUAGUGGCGAGCGAAAUCGGUAGAGCCCAAACCUUUUAAGUUUUCAUGUGUUCGCAUGUGAAUAAGUUGAUAGACGAAUACUUAUGAGGGGUUGUGAUAUCACACGAGACCAAGUCAGAGCACUGAAAUUCGUUUCAGUAAUCUGAUUUGCGACCAGCGACUAUCAUCGUCUGGAUAAGGUAAGAAAACUGCGUGGUUAGCGGAAUAGUUUGAAUGACUAACCAAAGAACGUGAAAGUCGUGUAUGCGAAAACGACGCGGACCUUAUACGUGUUUUAUCGAGUAGGGCGGGGCACGAGAAACCCUGUCUGAAUCUGGAUGGACCACCACCCAAGGCUAAAUAUAAUAUACGAUCGAUAGUGAACUAGUACAGCGAUGGAAAGGUGAAAAGAACCCCGGGAGGGGAGUGAAAUAGAUCCUGAAAUUGUGUGCCUACAAGGAGUCGGAGCCCUUCGGGGUGACGGCGUGCUUUUUGUAGAACGAUCCAGCGAGUUAAUUUCGUGUGCAAGGUUAAGUCUAGUGACGGAGCCACAGUGAAAGCGAGCCUGAAUAGGGCGAAUUAGUACACGGAAUUAGACCCGAAACCGGGUGACCUAACCAUGGGCAGGCUGAAGCUACUGUAACAGGUAGUGAAGGGCCGAACCAGGACGCGCAGCAAAGCGUUUGGAUGACCUGUGGUUAGCGGUGAAAUGCCAAUCGAACUCGGAGAUAGCUGGUUCUCCUCGAAAUAGCUUUAGGGCUAGCGUCGAGUUAGUAGCACAUAGGGGUAGAGCUCUGUCAAGGACUGGGGCUGGCAACGGUACCCACCCUUAACAAACUACGAAUACUAUGUGUGUAACCUCGGCAGUCAGAACAUCGGUGCUAAGAUCGGUGCUCAAAAGGGAAACAGCCCAGACCAUCGUCUAAGGUCCCUAAAUUUACACUCAGUGGGAAACAAGGUGAGAUUUCUUAAACAGCGAGGAUGUUGGCUUAGAAGCAGCCAUUCAUUUAAAGAGUGCGUAACAGCUCACUCGUCAAGAGAUCUUGCGUGGAAAAUGUAACGGGGCUAAAGUGUAAUACCGAAGACAUGGAUUGUACGAUUUAUCGUGCAGUGGUAGAGGAGCGUUCCUAUCAGCGGUGAAGUCAGAUUGGAAAGUCUGGUGGAGCGGUAGGAAGUGAGAAUGCUGGAAUGAGUAACCAUAAGACAGGUGAGAAUCCUGUCGGCCGUAAGAGCAAGGUUUCCUGAGCCAUGGUAAUCAUCUCAGGGUUAGUCGGGCCUAAGCCGAGGCGCAGAGCGUAGGCGAUGGACAUCAGGUUAAUAUUCCUGAACCGGUUAAGUUUUGUACACUGUUCACGGGUAAGUAGUCGAAGCGGAUUCAUGGUAUGUAUCCGUCCAACCGAGCGGGAACGCAAAGGGAGUGAAAGUGAGUCUUCGGACUUACGAUUUUGGCGAAAGACCUGGCUAGAAAAGCAGGUGUACGCGUGGACUUAGCCGCCCGUACCGCAAACCAACACAGGUGCUCGAGUCGAGUAGACUCAGGCUUACGAGAGACCCUUCGCUAAGGAACUCGGCAAACAAGCGACCGUAACUUCGGGAUAAGGUCUGCCCCCACUUCGGUGGAUAGGAAUUGUAUGUCACGUUCACUCAGCAAGAGUUAACAGGUUAAAGGGCGAUAGUAACGAUAUCGCAUGAGUACGCGAUAGUUUAAUGGCGCAAGUCGUUGAAUUAUUCGUCGAAAAAUCCUUUUUAAUAACCAUCGCAAAAUUUAUUUUGUGAGAUUUUUUCUGAGACAGAAGCAAUAUGAAAGCAUGCGUAAGCAUGGAGUCUAAAGCUUUUUGAACGCGAAUACCUUCGUAUCUAACGAUGUGGGGGCCGCAGCAAAAGAGCCCACGGAACUGUUUAUCAAAAACACAGGUCUCUGCUAACACGAAAGUGGAUGUAUAGGGGCUGACUCCUGCCCGGUGCCGGAAGGUUAAGGGGACUGGUUCACGCUAGGAACUGAAGCCCCGGUGAACGGCGGCGGUAACUAUAACCGUCCUAAGGUAGCGAAAUUCCUUGUCAGGUAAGUUCUGACCCGCACGAAUGGAGUAAUCAUGUGGGCACUGUCUCAGCGAAGGCCUCGGUGAAAGUGCAUUGGCGGUAAAGAUGCCGUCUGUCCGUACCAGGACGAGAAGACCCCAUGGAGCUUUACUACAGCUUUACAUUGAUCCGGGUUACAACAUGUGUAGCAUAGGUGGGAGACUUUGAAGCAGAUACGCCAGUGUUUGUGGAGUCGCAGGUGAAAUACCACCCUUGUUGUGAUCUUGAUCUCACGGUGACCGUUAUCCGGUUACCGGACCGUGUAUGGUGGGUAGUUUAACUGGGGCGGUUGCCUCCUAAAGAGUAGCGGAGGCGUUCAAAGGUUGGCUAGCAACGGAUGGAAAUCGUUGUGAUAGUGCAUGCGCAAAAGCCAGCUUGACUGUGAGGAGUACAUUCCAAUCAGAUACGAAAGUAGGAGCAAGUGAUCCGCUGUACGUACAUUUGUACAUGAAUGUGGGAUCGACAGCGCAAACGGAUAAAAGUUACCCUGGGGAUAACAGGCUUAUAGCGCCCAAUAGUUCACAUAGACGGCGCUGUUUGGCACCUCGAUGUCGGCUCAUCACAUCCUGGAGGGGGAGCACCUUCCAAGGGUUCGGCUGUUCGCCGAUUAAAGUGGUACGCGAGCUGGGUUCAGAACGUCGUGAGACAGUUCGGUUUAUAUCCGGUAUGGACGUUAGGAAACUUGAGAAGAUCUACCCCUAGUACGAGAGGACCGGGGCGGACGAACCUCUGGUGUAUGGAUUGUGGCCACCUGCUGCAUUGUCCAGUAGCUAUGUUCGGAAUGGAUAAGCGCUGAAAGCAUAUUAAGCGCGAAGCCAACUUCAAGAUUAGGUUUCCCUAUGAGGACACAGAUAGACUAUCUGUUUGAUAGGUGCAAGGUGGAAGUGUAGUAAUACAUGGAGCUGAAGCAUACUAAUAGUCCCAUUGCCUU
rnacentral:rRNA from 1 species